GUUAGGGUUAGAACACAGGUGAAGAUCUUUGAGCAGCAAUAUGAUUUCAUGUCAUGAAAGAGCACUACAGAUGCAUUGUUUGCUCUGAGAGUACUGAUGGAGAAGUAUAGAGACGGCCGAAGGAGUUACAUUGUGUGUUUGUGGAUUUAGA